rnacentral:tRNA from 1 species
GGGGUCGUAGCUCAAUUGGGAGAGCGCUACAAUGGCAUUGUAGAGGUCAGGGGUUCGAUCCCCCUCGGCUCCACCA